UACGGAGGGUGCGAGCGUUGUCCGGAAUCACUGGGCGUAAAGGGCGCGUAGGCGGCCUGAUAAGUAGGGGGUGAAAUCCUGCGGCUUAACCGCAGGGCUGCCUUCUAGACUGUCAGGCUAGAGCACAGUAGAGGCAGGUGGAAUUCCCGUGUAGCGUGGAUGACGUAGAGAUCGGGAAGAACACCAAUGGCGAAGGCAGCUUGCUGGGACGGUACUGACGCUGAGGCGCGAAAGCGUGGGGAGCAAACAGG
rnacentral:rRNA from 1 species